UGUCAUUAUAUGGUCAUUAAUAUAUAGUACUGACCACAACAAUUAUCAUACUACAAUGAUUGUGAUACAGAUAUCUUUGAAUUGCAAAUACCCUGCAUGUCAACACUGACUGCAUAGUUUAGCUUUACACACUGUGCUAUUUUUCCUUUUAGAAUACCCUCUACUGUGUUUUAUGUCCUGUAAGAGUACCAACUAUAUACUUGCGUAACAAGGCACCUGUAAACAAACAUUUAAUUGUUUACUUCAGCAUGUAAUGAAAACAACAAACAGAUGUGUGCUGUACUCUCCAAGCUUGAUAACCAUGUAAAUGGGAGGCUGACAGACCCUUUUGAGUUACAACCUGAGCUCCAUGGUGCAAGAGAUAAACCUAAAAUUGUAAAUAGAAUAAAGAAUCGUACCACUUUCAGAAGGGAUGUCAAACAGUUGGGCAAAAUGCAGAAGCGGAAUUCAAGAAAGAUGAUAGUUGAACGAACAUAAAAAAUGGAAAUUAGGUCAAAAUAGAACUAUAACUUUGCAGGCAAGAAUGGCAUUUUGCUCAGGCCUGAAAUGUGUAUGUAUGUACAUAUGUAAAAUGUUUAAAUAUAAAUAAGCUGUUUAAUAGAGUGGCUAUGUUAAGUAUAUAAGUAUCUCUACUGUUUGUUAGUUUUAUGUGCAAUGGUGCUCCUUGAACUAGUGAGUCUAUUAUAGAGGUUUUCAGUGUAGUGAUUCAUCAGCAGUUUUUCUUUUUGCAACAAAAUAUCAAACUUGAUUUCACUUGUAAUUUAGAUUGUUUCAUUUUUGACCUGCUACAUCGAAAAUAUCUGCCUCUGUCUACAUAUGAUAGUUAUGAAACAGUCAAAUAAAUAAAACUAUGACUUCACAUGGAA